CAGAGUCUUCCCUUCCCUUUGUCAAGCUUCCAUGCCUCUCCUCCACCUAGGUGGUUUUUUGUGUCUUCAAGCUCAGGCUGUAGUGCACGUAGGAGGGGCUUUAACAAGGCCAGAAGGGCAACAGCGGAACAACAGCUGCCCUUUCAAACCGAUCUGGCCGCUUGCUUGGGGUCCCCUGAAGUGAAACAUGGGCCCGUCUGUGGAUUCCAGCGCCGAGUGGGCGGCAGGAACAGAGACGUUGCUCCGCUGCCAAGGCUGUGAGAACAAGCAGAAGCGUCAAAGCGUCCUUUUCCCUUGAGCCCUGAUGGACUCUUCCUCUUUCUUCCCCUCAAAUCAUCAGCAGGAAAAUGCAGCCCACUCUGUCUCCAUUCAGGCGACAGCAGCCUCCAAGGGAGCUGUGCAGGGCUGGGCAGAUGCCAAAAGGAACCCUAGGACAGACGGACACGCCCCAGCAGGCUCAGCCUCCCGUCUUGGGGCGGGGAACGUGCGUGAGGAGAGCCCUGCGGCGGAGGAAGGAGCCCCGGAGAAAGUCAUCCCUGGGGACUCCAAGGGAAACCCCCCCCCGGUGUUAGCAGCCCUGAACCCUGCUGUCUCCCGUUGAGGACUCGUGUUCUGGAAGGGAGCGAUUCUCGAGACCUUUGUUACAGCCUGUAGCCCAGAGCUUUAGGACUUUGGGUGGAAGGAGUGGCAUUUCUAGCCAGCUCCCUUCUGGAGACUUGGCUAUUGUAACAAAGAAUCACUGGAUGCCCAUAGCACCUCCUGACCAGCAAGGGAGGGGUCUCCCUGCACUUGUGCACCCCAAAUGGCAUGUUUUUGUCAGCUCUGAAUUUCCCCUUCUCUGCUUCACCUUCAGGAUAAGGAAAAAACCUGACUUGGUCUCUUAGCUUUCCUGCUCACUCACAGGGGAAGGCAGAUGAGAUCCUGGACUUGCUCCCAUGGCCUUGGGCCCACUGUGCCCCCCAAAAAUAUCUUCCUCUCCCCUAAAAACAACUGAUGGAGAGUGCACCAACCGCUCUAGUUACAGAAAUGCACCCAGGGCUGCCAACCCUCUUGUACCCUGAAUGGCUCUCCAAGGCUCUACCCAAAGGCCUGGCCCGAGCUGAGAUCCUUCCAGCCAAGACCCCGCCCUGAGGGGAUGGUGAGAGCUCUGUGUGUCAGCCCCGGCCUGGAGGCUGAGCUGGGAGGGAAAAUUAUCCCUUUUCUAAGGUCCUGUCAGCGGUGACUGCCACUUCUCCAAGGGCCACGACACCUUUUCCCCAGGAGCAGCAUGUCCGUUGUUACAAAGCUUCCAUUUUUGCAAAGGAAACAUUUUCAGUUUCAUUUUCUCCCUGUAGUAGAAGAAGAAAAAUCACUUACAGCUGCUAUCGUAAAUAAACCAAAAGAAUUUCA